rnacentral:rRNA from 1 species
UACGGAGGGUGCGAGCGUUGUUCGGAUUCACUGGGCGUAAAGGGUGCGCAGGUGGUCGGGUAAGUCUGAUGUGAAAUCCCGCAGCUUAACUGCGGAAUGGCAUUGGAUACUAUUCGGCUAGAGGGUUGGAGGGGGGACUGGAAUUCUCGGUGUAGCAGUGAAAUGCGUAGAUAUCGAGAGGAACACCAGUGGCGAAGGCGAGUCCCUGGACAACUCCUGACGCUGAGGCACGAAAGCUAGGGGAGCAAACAGG